CAGAGUAAACGUGAGCCCUUUUGAAAUUCUCUUUGGCAAACCACCAUUUGUGGGUGAAAGCUGCUCAGGAGAAGGUUGCUGAAACACCGUUGCAUAACCUGAAACCAGGAGAUUUCGUGGUGGUACGAGACCUGAGGAGAAAGAGCUGGAAGGCGAAAAGGUGGCUGGGACCAUUCCAGGUGCUUCUGACCACUCACACGGCUGUGAAGGUAGCAGAGAGAGCAACAUGGAUCCAGGCCAGCCACUGCAGAAAGGUCCCACAGAAAGGAGUGGAGACACACACGUCAACAAGGCCAGAAUCCAGCCUAAACAUCAAGCGUCCUUAUCAGCGGGAAGAGCAAGGUUAAGACUGAAAAACAGCAUCGAAGUAGUCUGCGCACAAGUGAAAAGAUAAAUAUGAGCAUCAUAGUUGGGUACAUCACGUUGUUUUAAUAUUCCAGACUACAGUGACAACAUUACCAAUAUCAUCACCCAGAUGAGAAUGGCCGUAAAAGAGCCUAAGCGUACACAUAAUGCUGCUAAAUGAUUUUUGCUGCUAUAAUGUCUACCAUGUAUUUUUUAGUUGUAUAUCCAGCUCAGUACAGAGACUGGUGAAGUCUAGAAUUUCACAUCAAAUGGUUCAAAUGACUGUGUACAAUGAAGACGUUAUCAUGGAUUUUAGUAGAGAGAAAACUAUUGAUGAAGGGACAAACAGUAGUGGAAGCUAAAGUGAAAUGUGUUAAAUGUAUGAGAUUUAUGAUAUUUUUUCUUUGAAGUAAGUAAUGUUCAGGCCUAUCUGAAUCUAUACUGUUUGUUGCUUGAAUAGGGUCUGUCCCCAUACAACAAGCCUUAGCAUAUUUUCUAACUUCUUUUACAAACUUAAGAGGGUGAUCAUUUAUGAGAAAAUCAGAGAUGAAGAGUAUAAAUGUGAUGAUAUGCCUUAAGUUGCUUUAUUUUGAAUUAUGUUUGUAUUCCCGAGUGUGAAUUUUUUAUUUUGAAUUGUGUUUGUAUCUGUGAGGUGACUGAGGGUCUGACUUAUGUCAGAAACGCAGUAACAGUGUUUUACUUGUUUAGCCCGGCGCCCAGAGCAAACAUAAUGUUAAGUGUGUAGUGAAAAUAUAACCAGUAGUAAUGAAUUUUUAUGUUUUAGUGAUCAAUGAAUGAUAAAAAGGGGGAAAUUGUGGUGGAAAAAUUCAUUGAACAUUGCUUCUGUAUGCCUAUAUAUGCAUGUGUUUUCUUAGAAUUGCUGUGUGGUUCAGAAGGGCGACACCUGAGGGGGAAACAGAUGUCUGAGAAUGACCUUAGAGGUUCAUUGGGCCAUAUAGUGGGGGGGGACAAUGCCUGAGGAUGACCUGAGGGGGUCACCUAAGUCCUAAAUGUGUGAGAAACAAACUACAGAGUGUGUUUUAUGUUAUCCAUGGAAAGUUACAGCUGCUAAGACUUUGUAACCUUGAAGCAGCAAAGGGAUAUAAGGUGGAGGACUGCCCUCUUCCUGGGUCGGAUUCACUCUGCAGGAACUCAGUGUUGCUGUAUGACUGUCUGACCUUAUUUGCAAGGAAUAAAAGCUUUCUUUUUAAUUA